GCCUGCUCUCCGUUUAUCCUAGGCGUACCCUGCGACGACGGCAUCCGCCUCGGAGCGUGGCCGAAGCGUGUGGCCGGAGGACCCGGGAGUUCCUAAGAGAUGGUGAUGAUACUUGUCUGAGACAACAGCCCGGUGAGAGAAGAAGUUCCCAGACAGCGAGGUGGCUUUGUUUGGCUCCCGACCGGCCUCUCGCCGUGACUCACAUCUUCAGCCCUCUGAGAGAUAAGUGGAGCCCACAGAGGGGAUCAAAGCAGGGCGGUGGGUCAGGACUGAGAUCGGUUUGGGUUUUUGAGUGAGCUUUGGGGAUGGGGAGGUUCUGGAAAUGACCCCAUAGGCCCCAGUGAGGGAAAGCCUCACUUUGGUAUGCAAUGCUGAGGCAGGCAGGGCAGAGCAGUCCCAGGGUGUGUUGUCACUUGUCUCUCGUGCCUUCUGUGUCUUAUGUGCAUCUUGUGUAACAUCUCUAUUGCCUUAGUCCUCCCAGGGGUAUAUGAGAAACCCUGGGGUCCUUCCGUUCAUCUCCCAUCUUUGCGUUCCUCGGCCCGGCGCCGGCGAAGCUUCGAUGCGGGAGGUCGGACAGGCGUCAGAAUUGCAUCUGUCUUUAGAAGCAUGUGAUCGGAUGUUUUCUUAGGUCUCGUUCUCAGCUGUGUCAACAGCUAUAUGCAGCAGUGUUUCUUUACAGUGGAUAAGGACUUGUGCCGAUUCAAAGGCAGGCAGAGGCUUCUAGCCACAGGAUUCUCGGGCAUCCGUCUUUGCGGUUCUUGGAAAAUAGUUGUUCCAUUAGCAUCUUUUUCCUCCGGGGUCACUGGAGCUCGGCAGGCUCGCCUCGGGUCCCUCCUCGGUCAUCUCGUUCAGCAUUCUCUCGGUCCUCAUGAGGACUUUCUUGUCUCAGAGAGUUUUCUCUCCUUGUCAUGUCCCCUUGUCUCACGUGUCAUGGGUGUCUGGUGGUAUUUGGUCCGGAGCUGCUCUGCCCUGGCGCCCAGCCCGGUUGUAGGUGUUUAAGGACAAGUCCCGGGCACUUGUAAUUGGAGAUUUGUAAUAUGGGCUGUAGUUGGAGUCUAGCUGGUAUUCUUAUGUUGGCAGCAGGUGUCUGGAGCUGUGAAGUUACCCUGCAGCACUUUGACUUUUUUCCUAUAUUUCUUUCAGAUGCAGAUAGAUUGACCUGGCAGAACACCUGUCCCAGAUGAGGGGGUCCCCCUGAGAAGGAAGUAAAGCCGGAUAGCAGCGGGGAAGGCGAAGCAGGUGGAAGGUGGUCUACUUGCAAGAUAUCCCAGCCCAGGAUGCUGGAGGACAGGAGUUGGUGUUGCCCCGAGCACGGCAAGGAGCAGAGAUGAGCAGGUGAGUUGGCAUUUUGAAGUUAAG